AUGUGUAUAUCACAGGAAAGGAUAAGACUGUCUUUGCAAUUCUCAUCCAUAAGAAAACAUAAGAGAAUGAGAAAAAAGUUGAUAUUUGUGUGGAAAUAUGUUUUGACAAUUGACUGCCAAUAGAUGUCACCUGCCUGGAUGCCAGGAAGAAAAUCAAUGUUCCUUUGGAGUGAGACUAUAUUUUAUUCCUAAAGCAUUUAAUUCAUCAAAACCUUGCAAGACUACACCAUGUGAACACUGACCUGUGAAUAGGUACCAGAGGUUGUUUGGCUCCAGUGUUUCCAUCUCACCCCUGCGGGUCGUCUUUCUGUGUCGAAUUUUAUAGCCGGAAGCUAAUGAAAGAUGUGUUCCAGGAAAAGAGUGCAGUCUGAAAAAAAAAUAUUUAAAACACAACAAACAGCGUUGAAGACAAUGAAGAAAAUUGUAAUGUGAUAAAAGAUAUAAUAUGAUGAAAAACCAGACUCGAAAGAGUACAUACUGUUUAAUUCCAUUUAUGUGAAGUUAAAGAAUAGGCAAAACUAAUCUACAGUAUUCGAAGUCAGAAUAGUCUAAAUAGUUGUUCUGGGUUUUGAUUGGAAAUGGGUACCAGUAGACUUUUUGGGGUGAUGGAAAUCUGCAUAUUGAUGUCAUGUUUGUUACUCAGAUGGAUACAAUUGUCAAAAUACAUAUUUAUGGGCUGAAUUUUGACCACCAAGAGUCAUAUGUUGAAGUUAUUACUCCUGUAUCUUAGAAGAAUCUGACUGAAUUUGGAGAUAAGUCCUUGAAGGAGGUAAUGAAGUUUAAAUUAGUUCACGAGGGUAGGUCUUAAAUAUGACAUGAUUGGUGUCUCUAAAAGAAAAUAAGGACACAGAUAUGCACAGAGAAAAACCACGUGAAGACACAAGAAGAAGGUAGCCAUCUAUAAGCCAAGUGAGCGAGGCCUCAGAAGAAACCAAAUCUGCCAACACAUUGAUCUUGGACUUCUAGCUUCACUAACUGUGAGAAAAUAAAUGCCUGUUUUUUAAGCCACCCAGUCUGCAGUAUUUAUUAUGGCAGCCCUAGAAUACCAGUAUAUUCAUGAGACUGAACACUUAAGAUUUAUAAUUUCAUUUAUUUUAAUUACACCUCAACAAAAUAAGGAAGAGGAGGAGAAGCAGCAGUAGAAAAAAGAGAAAAGAUUGGAGAAGAAAAUGAGGAUGGAAGUGUGUCAGCACCAAAUCCUGACAUAAAAAUAAACCAAUAGAUGAUAUCUACAAAUGAUGAAUUAAAACUGGUAAACUAAGAGACAUCUAAAUAAGUAGAUUACUGAGAAACAUAAAGGUAAAUGUCAGAAAAAAAAAGGCAGUCUUUAGGGAAUGGAGGCAGGGUUUGGGGAGGGGAAAGAAAGAGCCUGUUUGUUUUUGUUAUAGGCUUGUUAGUAUUAUUUAACUUAAAAAAUAAUGUGCAUGUAAUACUCUGAAAAUAUUUAAAUUAAGUUUUAAAAUAAGCACACAGAGGUUUUUUGUUUGUUUUUUUUUUUUGAGGUGGUAGAAACAAAUUACAGGCUGUUAGAAAGAAUCCAGACACAGCCGGGUGCAGUGGCUCACACCUGUAAUCCCAGCACUUUGGGAGGCCGAGGCAGGUGGAUCACCUGUGGUCAGGAGUUCGAGACCAGCCUGACCAGCAUGGAGAAACCCCAUCUCUACUAAAAAUACAAAAUUAGCCAGGCGUGGUAGCGCAUGCCUGUAAUCCCACCUACUUGGGAGGCUGAGACAGGAGAAUCGCUUGAACCCGGAAGGUGGAGGUUGCAGUGAGCCGAGAUCACACCAUUGCACUCCAGCCUGGGCAACAAGAGCAAAACUCCAUCUCGGAAAAAGAAAGAGAGAAAGAAAGAAAGAAAGAAGGAAAGGAGAGGAAAGGACAGGAAAGGAAAGGAAGAAAAAGAAAAAGAAAAGAAAGAGUGAAAAGAAAGAAAAGAAAAAAAAAGAAAGAAAGAAAGAAAGAAAGAAAGAAUGAAUCCAGAACCAACGUCAAAUAAUGGAUUUGUCCAGGACCUCCCUGUCCCUGCUUCAGUCAUGGAGCAGAGGCAGAGCUAGACUCUCCAGGGAGAUAGAAAUCCAACCUCCUUCUUCCAGAUCUACCACAAAUUAGCUGGUGCUCUGCAGAUAAGUUUCUCUGAGAGAAGAAAAAAAAUAUAAUCUAAAUUUGCAUUUACUUGCUGAGUAACUUACUUUGUUAUUUUCUGUAUAGCUGCCCUCACCCCAGCACUGAAUUUGAGAAUACUGAAAUAUUGCUCCUAGGGGAAAUAUAGGUUUAGGUUCCUUCAAGCCUCUGGUUACAAUAUUUUUGUCAACUGAUGGGUACCCAACCUUGUUUUAUGUGUGUUUCUAUUUAAUGAUACCUUAUUUAAUAUGACAGUAUUGUCAACUCUUUAACUUUGAACUUUAAUGCGAGAAAUAAGGCAGAUCGCAGCCUUCUUGCUCUUAGGAACACUGGACAGUGCUUCAGCACUCCACUCUGGGAUCAUUUUAAACAGAAAAAUCACCAACCAAAAGCACAGAAAUACAAAAAACAUGGCACCAAAUGGACCUCAAAAAGGGUGCUUGUUUACAGUAUGAGGGCUAAAACAAGAAGACAGAGCAUCUCUUUCUUCAACCUCAGCUGGGAACGUGGACAUUUGGCAACUCAAAUUUUACCCUGCUCUAAGCAUAACCACAAAGCACCAAGGGUAUUGAUUUGAGUUGCAAAUAAAUUUUAGCAAGCAGGCAGGCAACUUUGCAACUACAGAAUCUGUAAAUAAUGAGGAUCAACUGUACUUAUAUAAUAAAAAUCUUUUACUAAUUUCAGAGGAAUCUAGUUACAUACAAUUGAUCUGAUUAAGUUGGUAGAAUAUAUUCAAAAUACUAUCGCACUGAGAUCCUUUACUUUGUUUCCACUAUUCUUUAAGUGUGAUAAAUUAAGCACCACUCUUAACUACUAUUUGUUAACAUAUUUUUUGCACUUACUUUAGACCUGGCAAUGGUCUAAGCACUCUGCAUUAUUUAUAUUUUUAUGCUCAUUAUGACUCUGUGAGUUAAGGUCUAUUGCUAUGACCUUUGUAAAAUCAGGUAAACUGGGACAAGAAUGGUUAAAUAAAAUAGACAUGUAUCCAA
rnacentral:lncRNA from 1 species